rnacentral:rRNA from 1 species
CCCUUAGAUGUCCUGGGCCGCACGCGCGCUACACUGAUGCAUGCAACGAGUUCUUUUUUCCCUGGGUCGAGAGGCUCGGGUAAUCUUUGGAACGUGCAUCGUGAUAGGGAUAGAUCAUUGCAACUAUUGAUCUUGAACGAGGAAUUCCUAGUAAACGCGAGUCGUCAGCUCGCAUUGAUUACGUCCCUGCCCUUUGUACACACCGCCCGUCGCACCUACCGAUUGAAUGUUUCGGUGAAGAUUCCGGACCGCGACGCCAGAGCGCUUCACGGCGCCCUGGUCGCGGGAAGUUGUCUAAACCUCAACAUUUAGAGGAAGGUGAAGUCGUAACA